AACGAACGCUGGCGGCAUGCCUAAUACAUGCAAGUCGAACGAUCACUUCGGAGAUAGUGGCGCACGGGUGCGUAACGCGUGGGAAUCUGCCCUUGGGUUCGGAAUAACGUCGGGAAACUGACGCUAAUACCGGAUGAUGACGUAAGUCCAAAGAUUUAUCGCCCAGGGAUGAGCCCGCGUAGGAUUAGCUAGUUGGUGGGGUAAAGGCCUACCAAGGCGACGAUCCUUAGCUGGUCUGAGAGGAUGAUCAGCCACACUGGGACUGAGACACGGCCCAGACUCCUACGGGAGGCAGCAGUAGGGAAUAUUGGACAAUGGGGGCAACCCUGAUCCAGCAAUGCCGCGUGAGUGAUGAAGGCCUUAGGGUUGUAAAGCUCUUUUACCCGAGAUGAUAAUGACAGUAUCGGGAGAAUAAGCUCCGGCUAACUCCGUGCCAGCCGCCGCAGUAA
rnacentral:rRNA from 1 species